rnacentral:lncRNA from 1 species
CCCUUCCCCUCUCGGUGUCCCCUCUGCCUUCGCUAGUCCUUCGGGGCCGGGACCCCUUCCCCUCUCGGUGUCCCCUCUGCCUUCGCUAGUCCUUCGGCUGGGCCCCCUUCGCUAUUUCCCUGUCCUUCUCCUCUCUUGGCCGCUUUAACUAGUCCCAUCCGCUGCUGCUGUCCCCCACCUUCACUAGCUCCACAGAAUCAGUCCCCUUCCUAGCGUGGUGCACCUUAACUGUCUUCCUCCCCCGGUCCCCUCUGCCUUCGCUAGUCCUUCGGCUGGGCCCCCUUCGCUAUUUCCCUGUCCUUCUCCUCUCUUGGCCGCUUUAACUAGUCCCAUCCGCUGCUGCUGUCCCCCACCUUCACUAGCUCCACAGAAUCAGUCCCCUUCCUAGCGUGGUGCACCUUAACUGUCUUCCUCCCCCGUCACCUUCCCUACCUACUAACUACCUUCUAACUAGCUACUAACUACCACCGUGUCUCUCUGCGCCCCUGGCAGUCGCUGGCCCAAGAUCCAGCGGGCGCUGCAAUACGAGCACGGCCCCUCACCUUGCCGUAAUCAGGCCCGUUUAAUUAUAAUUACAGUGCAGCUACUACCUGGCCAGGACAAGUCCUAGGAGUCCUGGCCUGUUACACUCUUUUUUUUCUUUUUCUUGCUCUGUUAUUCGUGACUUUUCCGAGUACUGCUUUCUACUCUGGGCUGAUGGAGGACUGCAAAGCCCAGGGUUCAGCUGCGAUUUAACUGGAGAACAUGGUGCUUGUGAUAAAUUUGCAGAGGGCAGCAGAUGGUGCUGUUUGUCCUCCUGUUAGGAGGACGGCGGCCAGUCGUCCCUGCUGCCAGUGGUGGCCCUCUCACUGGGGCAGUGACAUAUUCCAAGGGGAGAAUAACUUGCUGUUUAAAGGAAGGGAAAAUUACCAGAAGCUUUUAGCGGUGGUUGCUGAGCAGUUCUGUGACCGUCUUGGAGAUGGCAGCAACACUUCUCCCUGCCUUGACUAGGUAAAGCAUGUCUAGAGAUGCACAGGCAUUAAAUUCUUUACCUCCCUGCACCUCGUGUUCCUUAUCUGUUAAUCAGUUAUAUUUUUCUGUGCAGCAAGGAGGUGUGGGAAGAGGUUUGCAAACCUUAACGCCUGCGGAGUGCUUAGAGAUCCAGGAGGAAAUAGAACCAGGUUUACUCGUGAUAGAAAGGUGAGAUUACCAUGAAUUAGCAACAUGAAGCAUUGCUAAAUGAUAAUAAAAGGCCGAAUGACAGUCUGGGCUGGGUUAAA